AUUGAACGCUGGCGGCAUGCUUUAUACAUGCAAGUCGAACGGUAACAGGCCGCAAGGUGCUGACGAGUGGCGAACGGGUGAGUAAUGCAUCGGAACGUGCCCAGUCGUGGGGGAUAACGCAGCGAAAGUUGCGCUAAUACCGCAUACGAUCUAUGGAUGAAAGCGGGGGACCGUAAGGCCUCGCGCGAUUGGAGCGGCCGAUGUCAGAUUAGGGAGUUGGGGGGGUAAAGGCACACCAAGCCGAUGGUCUGUAGCUGGUCUGAGAGGACGACCAGCCACACGGGGACGUAGACACGGCCCAGACUCCUACGGGAGGCAGCAGUGGGGAAUUUUGGACAAUGGGGGCAACCCUGAUCCAGCCAUGCCGCGUGCGGGAAGAAGGCCUUCGGGUUGUAAACCGCUUUUGUCUGGGAAGAAAAGGCCUCGGCUAAUACCUGAGGUUCUUGACGGUACUGGAAGAAUAAGCACCGGCUAACUACGUGCCAGCCGCCGCAGUAAUAC
rnacentral:rRNA from 1 species